rnacentral:misc_RNA from 1 species
GUAGGUGAACCUGCGGAAGGAUCAUUAGAAUGAAGCAGCCUAGGAGCCGGGGAACCGGCCACCGGGCGUACCUUCCACCCUCUGCUUAUCACACUCUGUUGCUUUGGCAGGCCUGCCCCCGGGCUGCCGGCUCCGGCCGGCGAGCGCCUGCCAGAGGACCCAAACUCUGUCUGACUGUAACGUCUGAGUACUAUAUAAUAGUUAAAACUUUCAACAACGGAUCUCUUGGUUCUG